AGAAUUGCCCCUGUGACUCUUGCGACCAGGGAGGCCAUGACAUUAAGAACGUGAUCUCCCAGAGUGGCCGUGGUGGCAACAAGACCUGGUAGGCAGAGAGUGGUGAGGGUGCAGUGUGCCUACGUGUGGAGGUACGGGGUCAGGGCCUAGUCACUCACUAGCCCUAUGGCUGCAGGUGUUGAAAAUGUCACCAUCAGCCGGGCGCAAUGGCUCAUGCCUGUAAUCCCAGCACUUUGGGAGGCUGAGGCGGGCGGAUCACAAGGUCAGGAGAUCGAGACCACCCUGGCUAACACGGUGAAAC
rnacentral:lncRNA from 1 species